CUACGGGAGGCAGCAGUGAGGAAUAUUGCACAAUGGGAGGAAACUCUUAUGCAGCAANCGCCGCGUGGAGGAUGACGCAUUUCGGUGUGUAAAACUCNUUUUAUAUGUCAAAGAAAAUGACGGUAGCAUAUGAAUAAGCACCGGCUAACUCCGUGCCAGCAGCCGCGGUAAUAACGGAGGGUGCAAGCGUUACUCGGAAUCACUGGGCGUAAAGGACGCGUAGGCGGGAUGCCAAGUCUGAUGUGAAAUCCUAUGGCUCAACCAUAGAACUGCAUUGGAAACUGGUAACCUAGAGUAUGGGAGGGGGAGAUGGAAUUAGUGGUGUAGGGGUAAAAUCCGUAGAUAUCACUAGGAAUACCGAAAGCGAAGGCGAUCUCCUGGAACAUAACUGACGCUAAGGCGUGAAAGCGUGGGGAGCAAACAGGAUUAGAUACCCUGGUAGUCCACGCCCUAAACGAUGAACACUAGUCGUCGGGAUGCUAGUCAUCUCGGUGAUGCACUUAACAGAUUAAGUGUUCCGCCUGGGGAGUACGGUCGCAAGAUUAAAACUCAAAGGAAUAGAC
rnacentral:rRNA from 1 species